CAUUAAAUGACUGAAAGCAAGUAAUGGUCUCUUAAACCAUUUUAUAGUAAAAUAGCACCUACUUUUAAUGA
rnacentral:tRNA from 1 species